rnacentral:misc_RNA from 1 species
CUGAGUGUCGGGUUCUCUCUCCGAGGCCCACCCUCCAACCCUGUGUCUAUCGAACCUCUUGUUGCUUCGGCGGGCCCGUCUCCCAUCACUGGGAAGACCGCCGGGUCCUUUUACGGGGCCUGGCCCGUGCUCGCCGACAGCCUACACAACACAAACUCUUGAACUCAACUUUGCGUCUGAAACACAAAACAAAACAAAUAAAAACA